CCCAUUUCCCCCGUAAUUCCUUUCUUCUUCCUCCCUCUUCUCUCUCUCUCUCUCUCUCUCUUCUCUCUCUUCUCUCCGCCGCCGCCAGAAAUUACCCACCGGUGGCGGACCACCUCCAAACACCUCUAAAUUCACACCAUGUAAUCUCCACAACCUCCUCUUCCCAUAUCUCCAAAUCAAUUCCUUCAAAACCCCCUCAAACUCUUUGAAUUUUAGAUCUAGGAAACUUUAGCCGCCACUUUUUGGUCCAAAUUCUUGAAGCUCCGGCCAACACUACCCUACAACACAUACAUGAAUGGAUAGAGCUCCGCGAGACCUAUCUUUUCCUACCCAUUUCACCCCCAAAAUUUCCGUCGCUGCCGGCCAUCCACCCUCACCGCCGACCCGCCACUACUGUCGCACUCCUCCUCUGUUUUAGCCUAAUUCCGACCCAAGAACACUCAUUUCCUUUUGGUAUGACACCAAGUUUAUUGAAAUUGUUGUCUACCGAAAUGAAAUAAGCGUUCCAUGGUCGUGCAACCACUUCUUCCGACGUCUUCUCAUGGCUUGAACAGCUUCAAGCACGCUCGUUAGGUAUAAUCAUCAUCUCUUUACUUAAUUUCUGAUUUUCUUUAGUAGUUAUAGGUUAGUUCUUGAUUUUAAUUUUAGUUCCUGAUUUUAAUUUUUCUGUUUUGGGUUUGUUGUUAACUAGAGUUUCAAGUUAGAUUUAUUUAAUUAGUUAUCUCUAUUUAGUUUAGUUGUUUGUUAGACUAUUAUUAAUUAAACAUAAUAUUUAGUGUAUCAGUUUAAUCGUUUGCUUAGUUGUUGAAUUUCAUCGUCUGAAUGUUAACGAUGCUCGUUCUGUUUUGAGCAUUAGUUUGUGAAUCCAGUUGUUUGUUCUAUGUUUAGUUUGCACAAAUCAAUUUAUUUUAAUCUAGUUAGUUUGAGUUUUAGUUCCAUUUAAAGGCUUGUUUCUGUUUUGUUAAUUGUUAGUCGUUUGAGUUUGAUUUGGUUCAAAAUCAAGUAGUUUGGUGCUGAUGGUUAAAAUCUGAAGUUUAGGUUAUUUUAUCAUAAAAUAGUGUACUAGUAGCCUACCUUUUACUAGUAGAGUGGCUGAAAUGACUUUAUUUUUCUCCUUGCUUCUGACACAACAGAUUUUCAGGCUGUCCUUUAACCUUUUGGACAAAUUUUGAACAAUGUUUAGCACAAAAAGUUAGUCUUUUGGACAGACUUUUGGUGAACCAAAAUCUUUCCAAAAAAAUCUGACUUUAUUUGCCUAUUUAAAUGGCAGCUCUUCUCUUAUAAAGGGGACUCUCUUACACAUAAAAUAUACAUCCUUACUCACUGAAAAAGGAAAAAAAAAACAAGACACAACUUAAGAACUGAACAUCUAAAAGUGAGCUGAAAUUUGAGAGUGGUUGAGUGAGUAUUGAGAAAGCAAAAACUGUCCAAAAAAAAGGGGUUCUUAAGUCAGUUUACUUAGUUCUUUCCUUGUUAAAAGUUACUGAAUUUUCUGCUUUAGUUCGUCGGUUUUUCUGGGCUGUUUUCUCGGGUCACUCAAGUUAUUGAUUUGCUAUUGUUUCCCCUGCUGUUCCUACUGCUUCUGUAGCUGAAUUUCUGCUACUGUUACUGCUGUAUUUCUGCUUUUCAGGUAACCUUUCAAACAUUUGUAAUGCAGGUUCUUUUCUUUAAUAGAAGAUGAUGAAAAGAUGGGCCUUUUAGUUUGUUCCGAGCAAUUUUAUUCAAAGGAGUUUCUAAAUAUUUGAGUGUUAAGAUCUGCAUGCUCGUGAUCAUUUUAUUGUUGCAGUCGAGUAGUUUGGUUUAUUUUGUAGUUGGCAGAUCUGAGUAUCCAUGUUCUUUGAUGUUAGUUUGAACUACUUAGAUCAUAGUGCACUUAAAGAAUGAGUGAGGCAAUAAUGUUUAGUAUUGAAAGAAGAGUAUUGGACUGUUGACAUUGGUGAACCUGUGUUGUGUCAAACUUCAUGUCAAAAGGUUUCUGUUGCAUUUGUACCUGAGAAGUUGAUUUUUCAAAACUGGUCACUUUUUUUUGCAUUUGCCACCUUAAUUUAAGG
rnacentral:lncRNA from 1 species